CUAAGGGGCGGUUAAAGCAUUGCAAGUCGAGCGGUAGCACAGGGGCAGCUUGCUCCCUGUGGUGACGAGCGGCGGACGGGUGAGUAAUGUCUGGGAAACUGCCUGAUGGAGGGGGAUAACUACUGGAAACGGUAGCUAAUACCGCACAACGUCACAAGACCAAAGAGGGGGACCUUCGGGCCUCUUGCCAUCACAUGUGCCCAGAUGGGAUUAGCUAGUAGGUGGGGUAAUGGCUCACCUAGGCGACGAUCCCUAGCUGGUCUGAGAGGAUGACCACCCACACUGGAACUGAGACACGGUCCAGACUCCUACGGGAGGCAGCAGUGGGGAAUAUUGCACAAUGGGCGCAAGCCUGAUGCAGCCAUGCCGCGUGUGUGAACAACGCCUUCGGGUUGUAAAGCACUUUCAGCGAGGAGGAAGGUGGUGAGCUUAAUACGCUCAUCAAUUGACGUUACUCGCAGAAGAAGCACCGGCUAACUCCGUGCCAGCAGCCGCGGUAAUACGGAGGGUGCAAGCGUUAAUCGGAAUUACUGGGCGUAAAGCGCACGCAGGCGGUUUGUUAAGUCAGAUGUGAAAUCCCCGGGCUCAACCUGGGAACUGCAUUUGAGACUGGCAAGCUAGAGUCUCGUAGAGGGGGGUAGAAUUCCAGGUGUAGCGGUGAAAUGCGUAGAGAUCUGGAGGAAUACCGGUGGCGAACGCCGCCCCCUGGACUAACACUGACGCUCAGGUGCGAUAGCGUGGAGAGCAAACAGGAUUAGAUACCCUGGUAGUCCACGCUGUAGACGAUGUCGAUUUGGAGGUUGUGCCCUUGAGGCGUGGCUUCCGGAGCUAACGCGUUAAAUCGACCGCCUGGAGAGUACCGCCGCAAGGUUACAACUCAUAUGAAUUGACCGGGCCCGCACAAGCGGUGGAGCAUGUGGUUUAAUUCAAUGCAACGCACAUAACCUUACCUAGUCUUGACAUCACAGAACUUAC
rnacentral:rRNA from 1 species